GAGGCUGAGUCUCAGUACUUUUCCGCAUGAAAACAGGAACAGCAUGGUUAUUUAUUGUAGCAGAAUCUACCUACCUAAUUCUCCUAAACACAGACACAGCAACCAGUCAAGGUCGUGGCCAGGGCAUUUUUGAACUUCAAAAGUCUUUGAUUCACUUCUGGGCUGAUCCAGGCCUUAAGCCUACCCUUUGUGUUGGGGUCGGGCUGCCUGGGGUGAGGCCACUCCAGUAAACUCCACCUGAAGCAAGGACAGUUUUCUGUGGUAGUGAUCUGCGCCACCACCACCUGAUUCAAAGUACCGUGCAGUCCUUAUAUUGAUGGAAUGAAGGCCAAAGGUCCACAUGACCAUUAUCGUCUAAUUCUUCCAUGUGAAGCCUGAAAACCAUGAGAUCAUU